rnacentral:rRNA from 1 species
AGGAUAAACGCUGGCGGCGUGCCUAACGACAUGCAAGUCGAACGUCUCUUCUUUCGGGAAGAGGAGUGGCGGACGGGUGAGGAACACGUGGGAACCUGCCCUUCAGUGAGGAAUACCGGCGAGAAAUCGCCGACAAGACCGCAUAGCCCUCUCUGGUGAGAGCCAGAGAAGGAAAGCCUCGCAAGAGGCGCUGGAGGAGGGGCCUGCGUCCGAUUAGCUAGUUGGUGGGGUAAGAGCCUACCAAGGCGUCGAUCGGUAGCUGGUCUGAGAGGACGAUCAGCCACACUGGGAUUGAGAACGGCCCAGACUCCUACGGGGGGCAGCAGUGAGGAAUUUUCGGCAAUGGGGGAAACCCUGACCGAGCAACGCCGCGUGCAGGAAGACGGCCUUCGGGUUGUAAACUGCUUUCUUUGGACGAGCAAGGACGGUACCAGAGGAAUCGAGCCCGGCUCACUACGUGCCAGCAGCCGC